AGCGAACGCUGGCGGCAGGCCUAACACAUGCAAGUCGAACGGACCCUUCGGGGUUAGUGGCGGACGGGUGAGUAACACGUGGGAACGUGCCUUUAGGUUCGGAAUAACUCAGGGAAACUUGUGCUAAUACCGAAUGUGCCCUUCGGGGGAAAGAUUUAUCGCCUUUAGAGCGGCCCGCGUCUGAUUAGCUAGUUGGUGAGGUAAUGGCUCACCAAGGCUACGAUCAGUAGCUGGUCUGAGAGGAUGACCAGCCACAUUGGGACUGAGACACGGCCCAAACUCCUACGGGAGGCAGCAGUGGGGAAUCUUACGCAAUGGGCGAAAGCCUGACGCAGCCAUGCCGCGUGGAUGAUGAAGGUCUUAGGAUUGUAAAAUCCUUUCACCGGUGAAGAUAAUGACUGUAGCCGGAGAAGAAGCCCCGGCUAACUUCGUGCCAGCCGCCGCAGUAAUAC
rnacentral:rRNA from 1 species